rnacentral:rRNA from 1 species
AUUCCAGCUCCAAUAGCGAAUACUAAUUCUGCUGCAGUUAAAAAGCUCGUAGUUGGAUUUCUGGUGGGGACGUUUGGCCGGCCGUAACGGUUUGCGCUGAAAUGUUCUUCGCCAUCCUUGACGAAUACUGGUUCGCCAUUAAGUUGUGUGGGCUUGGAGUCGUCAUCGUUUACUGUGAAAAAAUUAGAGUGUUCAAAGCAGGCUUAUGCCGUUGAAUACAUUAGCAUGGAAUAAUAAGAUAGGACCCUGGUACUAUUUUGUUGGUUUGCGUACCUAGGUAAUGAUUAAUAGGGACAGUUGGGGGUAUUUGUAUUCCGUUGUCAGAGGUGAAAUUCUUGGAUUUACGGAAGACAAACUACUGCGAAAGCAUUUACCAAGGAUGUUUUCAUUG